GGGGGCGUGCGAUAGCUUGUCGCUCACAAAGUGGUUGUCGUGUGCAAUACUGAGUCAUAUCACAGCCAGCUUUGAUGAGCGACAGGCACCGACACUAAUCACCG
rnacentral:pre_miRNA from 1 species